rnacentral:rRNA from 1 species
ACGGGAGGCAGCAGUGGGGAAUAUUGCACAAUGGGCGAAAGCCUGAUGCAGCGACGCCGCGUGAGGGAUGACGGCCUUCGGGUUGUAAACCUCUUUCAGCAGGGACGAAGCGCAAGUGACGGUACCUGCAGAAGAAGCACCGGCUAACUACGUGCCAGCAGCCGCGGUAAUACGUAGGGUGCGAGCGUUGUCCGGAAUUAUUGGGCGUAAAGAGCUCGUAGGCGGUUUGUCGCGUCGGCCGUGAAAACUUGGGGCUUAACUCCAAGCUUGCGGUCGAUACGGGCAGACUUGAGUUCGGCAGGGGAGACUGGAAUUCCUGGUGUAGCGGUGAAAUGCGCAGAUAUCAGGAGGAACACCGGUGGCGAAGGCGGGUCUCUGGGCCGAUACUGACGCUGAGGAGCGAAAGCGUGGGGAGCGAACAGGAUUAGAUACCCUGGUA